UUGGAAGUGAAAUCCUAUGGCCAACCAUAGAACUGCUUCCAAAACUGUUUAACUAGAGUCUGGGAGGGGAAGAUGGAAUUAGUAGUGUAGGGGUAAAAUCCGUAGAGAUUACUAGGAAUACCAAAAGCGAAGGCGAUCUUCUGGAACAGUACUGACGCUGAGAUGCGAAAGCGUGGGGAGCAAACAGGAUUAGAUACCCUGGUAGUCCACGCAGUAAACGAUGAAUGUUAGUCGUUGGGUCUCUAGUAGAUUCAGUGAUGCAGUUAACACAUUAAACAUUCCGCCUGGGGAGUACGGUCGCAAGAUUAAAACUCAAAGGAAUAGACGGGGACCCGCACAAGUGGUGGAGCAUGUGGUUUAAUUCGAAGAUACGCGAAGAACCUUACCUAGCCUUGACAUAUAAUAGAAUUCACCAGAGAUGGAGAAGUGCCUUCGGGAGCUAUAAUACAGGUGCUGCACGGCUGUCGUCAGCUCGUGUCGUGAGAUGUUGGGUUAAGUCCCGCAACGAGCGCAACCCUCGUUCUUAGUUACUAACGAUUCGGUCGAGGACUCUAAGAAGACUGCCUUCGUAAGGAGGAGGAAGGUGAGGACGACGUCAAGUCAUCAUGGCCCUUACGGCUAGGGCAACACACGUGCUACAAUGGUUAGGACAAUGAGAAGCAAUAUCGCGAGGUGGAGCAAAUCUAUAAACCUAAUCUCAGUUCGGAUUGUAGUCUGCAACUCGACUACAUGAAGCUGGAAUCACUAGUAAUCGUAGAUCAGCUAUGCUACGGUGAAUACGUUCCCGGGUCUUGUACUCACCGCCCGUCACACCAUGGGAGUUGAUUUCACCCGAAGCGGGGAAGCUAAACUGGCUACCCUCCACGGUGGAAUUAGCGACUGGGGUGAAGUCGUAACAA
rnacentral:rRNA from 1 species